UCCCCCCUUUUCAACUCAUAUCCUUAAUUUCUAUCUCUAAAUUGCUUUUUCAGCAAUGGUAUGAUGAACCAUUCAUUUCUUUGAGUAAAUUAUGUGGAUAAGAAAAAGUAAUUCUCUUCUAAAUUAAUAGGACACAAUAACUUUCAGCAAACAAUUGAUCAAAAAUAGAAAAACCGUCAUAGGAAAAAAAAUUGUUGAGUGGAUGAUAAGUGGAUGAAUUUAGCUAUCGGCUAAUGUGUAAGAUCCUUAUUCGGACUUAUGAUUAAAUUUUAAACCUAUGCUGAAGCAAACUCCCUGGUAGAGUCAGAAGCAUACUUCCAUCAUCAAAUUUGACCCAUAUGAAUUUUUUGGUUAAAGAGGCCCAAAUUAUUGAAAGGAAAUAUUUUCCAUUUCUUUCGUUCUGUUUCCUUCAUUGAAAAUCAAGGUUAGAUUCAUGACUCGCUCUAUUCAAAACCCCUUUACUAGUUCCUCUGGGUCUUCUCUAAAUCACUAUUUCCAGUACCCAGAACUCCAUUUUUAACUCUCUUCGCAACUUCGGCUUCAAAAUGAUGAUAUUCUAGUACUUUUUGAGGGUUUCAAAGUAAUAUUCAACCUUUUCGUUUCCUUAAAAAAAUGACGAAUACUGUUCUUUUGUCAAGUUCAUUGGGUUAUCUCCUAGUACAACAACAUUAACUACAAAUUGUGAUUUGGGUAUAAAAAGAAGCAAAUUUUGUUGUCAAAUAAAGUGGAGGAACGAGCAAAGAAAUAGUAUCCGUGCUUUUAUGGCACCUACUAGGAACUUGGGACAUGAUGGAUUCCCUGGAACUGAAUUCACUGAAUCAUCUAAAUCUGGGAAUUGGAGCAAGGAAGUGAACCAUGAAGAUGAUUCUGAUGUUCUCAUUGAAUGCCGAAACGUGUACAAAUCAUUUGGAGAAAAGCACAUCCUGCGAGGUGUGAGCUUCAAGACUUGAGAUACUUGGCUGAGUAAUUCUAUGACAGCUUGAUACUGACAAGAAUUUUGGAUCUGGGUCAAACAUGGUUGAUGGCUGGAGAUAUUGACAACUCAUUGGCUGCCUUGCUGGUAGUCUAGUAGGUGUAAUGGUCCUUGGUUAUCUAGAACCUUGUUGUCUAUUGAUCAUGGUUGGUAUGCAGUCAACGUUUGACAUGAAAAAAAUGGAAAUCUCCACUUCAAAUUUGAUGUUCUGAUAGCAUGUGUUUUCUGAUAUCAUCAAGAAGGACAGAGAGUAAAAGUGAAGAAGUGCAGGUAAUUUUGUGAUUCUAAUUUGAAGAAACUAUAUUGACUUGAAAAACAUUAAAACUAAACUGAAGAAAUUUUGAUUA